rnacentral:rRNA from 1 species
GUGUCAGCCGCCGCGGUAAUACGUAGGGGGCAAGCGUUGUCCGGAAUUAUUGGGCGUAAAGCGCGCGCAGGCGGUCAUUUAAGUUUGGUGUUUAAGCCCGGGGCUCAACCCCGGAUCGCACUGAAAACUGGGUGACUUGAGUGCGGGAGAGGAAAGUGGAAUUCCACGUGUAGCGGUGAAAUGCGUAGAGAUGUGGAGGAACACCAGUGGCGAAGGCGACUUUCUGGACCGUAACUGACGCUGAGGCGCGAAAGCGUGGGGAGCAAACAGGAUUAGAUACCCCUGUAGUCC